CUGAAGAUAACUCAUUGUUGUUUUUCCCACCCUACAGAGAGCGUUCAAUGCCCUGUGCCAUAGUACCCAUCUGUACGGCAGGAGACUGGUGCUGGAAUGGGCUGAUUCAGAGGAAACAGUGGAGGCCCUGAGAAGGAAAACUGCAGAGCAUUUUCACGAUCCCCCAGUCAAGAAGCAGCGGACAGCCUUUUUAGAAGAAAUCUUGGAGAAUCUAGAGGAUGAUGAAGACAAUGAGGAGAAUAGCUAGGAUCCUCAGUUCAGAACUUCAAGGUUUGGGAAUUCAGCCUCUCCAGUCUAACUGUAGCUCCUACCAUGGAUUGAUGGACUUCCAGUUGCAGAUGUGCAUGUGUGAGAGAGGGAGAGAAUACAUUCAGCAUCACCAAUCAAAGAAGAACUCAAGCUCCCUCCUUGAGAAGCAGACAGUUGAGGAAUAUAAUGUGUGUCAGAGCAAAAAGAUCCUGUGACCCAGUCCUGUGGGGCAUGCUGGGCCCAGCUAUGUGUUGCAAACUGGCCCCUCCUGCAUUCCUCUCAUUGGCUUAAAGACACGGCUUUGUCAGCUCCAGUUCCCAUUCCCAGCUAGAUUGUUUUGCCUGGAGUUCCUUCUGACUCAAGUUUACUCCUCCUGGUCUUCCCUCCAAGCCUCAGAGCCCCCCUUGUUGAGCUGGGCCUUGCAUUUGCCCAGAGCAUAGCCCCUUCCCCUCACUAAAGUUUGGGGUGCAGUCCUGCUUGCUAAAAUGCCAAACAGUGGAGUGGCCAUAAGCCGAAGAAGAACCAAACUGCUUUGGUUAGUUCUUCUCAGGUAGACUACCUCUCCCUUGGCCGUCCAGGUUCCAUCUGGCCAUACAGGUGGCUCAGAGCUUCUCUAAUACACCUGGCUCCUUCUUGGCUCUGUAUGAGACAGGGCAAACUUGCCAGGCUAAUCCUCCCCAGGUUAAAUAACUGUCUACUUCCCACAGUGUUUCUGGAAUGAGCACCAGGUCCAGCGGUGCUUCAUUUGUCCCUCUGGAAGAGCAUACCUUUAGGGCGCCUUUGGAUCCAUCCAGUAAUCACCCUCAGCAUGAAUGGGGUAGAGGACAAAAGAGGGCAGGCAAGCAGCAGCUAAUCCCAGCUAAAGCUACUGUUCAACUCCAGCACAGAUGCCUGCAGGAAAAAGACUCCUAACUUCCAAGGAAGUCAGAGAUCGAGAGAAGAGCAAAAAAGCAGAGUGUUAGAAUUGCCUGAGCUCCAGAUUCACUUAAACCCUUCAGGAAUUCGGGAUAAAAUGAACCUGCCAGGGUCUUUCGAGGCAAGAUAGAAGAAAAUGCAGUCAAAUUCUGCAGCCCUCCCACCUUCAGAUAGUGAAUUGAGAAAGGGGGUUGAAGCAUCGAGAUCCACUACCACGUUUUAGUGGUGGGUUUACUUUAUUGCGAGUGGUGGGUUUUUGAAGCGAUGAUGACGCCAGGUGGUCCUUCUUUAGUGUCCCAGCUGAAAGCCAUCAAGAUGGAUCACUCAUUUGGGGCCGUAUUUUUUUUCCUUUGCAAGACCCCAGAAAUAUACUUCACCUCCCAUGUUUGGAAGGCAAGCAUGUUGAAACCUAUUAAGAAAUACAUUACUCCUUGAAUAAGAAUUUAAGAAAAAUCCUGUUGAUCAGGAUUUUUAUUUUAUUUUAUGAACACAGCACCGCAUCAUUACCUUUGGAGAAAUAUGAAACCCUGUCUGUGUGUUAGUCUGGGACAUCUUUCACCAUCUUGGUGUCCUCCUUCAUAAUUCCUUGCGAGCUAGGAUGGUGGGAAUGGAAAUCUAGCAUGCCUAUAGAACACCAGGUAGGAGAAGACUGGUCUGAGAAAUGUGAGAUUAAGUCAGCUAGUAUCAAAAAGGAGAAGGAGCAAAUCCCUCAUGCAUUUUUGUUUCCAACCCAGGUCAUAGUCUCUUAACCACCUGGUAAGACUGGGGUUAAGUUUAGGCUACAGUUAGGUUUAGUUUAGGCUUCAGGGACAGACCUCUUGAGCGUUCUUUUUUUUUUAGUGAGGUCUGUUGCUUAAUUAAGUCCAAAUAAGUAAGGAUGCCAACUUAUAUAAACUAAAGCUCUUGAAAACAGCUGUUAAAAAUGAGUAGAGCUGUUUUCAAUCACUUGACAUUGUGUUACUGACUGUUGUUGCCAAACUGGACCUAAUUAAGUUAGAUUCAUUAUAUUCUCAUUGUACUUUAAAAAUGUGAAGAUCACCCUUCAGAACAAUAUAGUUCAGCCUCUAAUCUGUUGUCCUUCAAAUACAUCGGGGGGGGGGGAUAGGAGAGGCAAAUCACAUAAUUUACAUCAUCUACACAAUGACAUUCUGAUAGGCAUGACAUCAUUGUGGGUUCUCCUGGAUGUCAUUGUUCAAAUAAUAUUGUAUCUAUAUUGUAUUUCCAAUGAUCAAUUUACAAACUAUAUUGUGCAGGUCAAAGAUGCAUUGCAUUGCUUCGGAUGAUAACUCAAAAUAAAAGAUAUAUGAGCUACAUAAAGUUCUGUAAAAUCAAUAUAAAAUAAAUAGUGCAAGAGAGGA